rnacentral:rRNA from 1 species
GACGAACGCUGGCGGCGUGCUUAACACAUGCAAGUCGAACGCUGAAGCCCUGGCUUUUGUUGGGUUGGAUGAGUGGCGAACGGGUGAGUAACACGUGAGUAACCUGCCCUCUUCUUUGGGAUAACGCCCGGAAACGGGUGCUAAUACUGGAUAUUCACUGGCCUUCGCAUGGGGGUUGGUGGAAAGGUUUGUUCUGGUGGGGUAUGGGCUCGCGGCCUAUCAGCUUGUUGGUGGGGUGAUGGCCUACCAAGGCUUUGACGGGUAGCCGGCCUGAGAGGGUGACCGGUCACAUUGGGACUGGGAUACGGCCCAGACUCCUACGGGAGGCAGCAGUGGGGAAUAGUGCACAAUGGGCGAAAGCCUGAUGCAGCGACGCCGCGUGAGGGAUGGAGGCCUUCGGGUUGUAAACCUCUUUCGCUCAUGGUCAAGCCGCAACUGUGGGUUGUGGUGAGGGUAGUGGGUAAAGAAGCGCCGGCUAACUACGUG